GGAUCCCUGAAAUGCUACACCAUAUGAAGGAAAUUGGGGUCCAACCUAACAAUUUAAGUUACAGAAUCUGUAUCAAUUCGUAUGGAGCAAGAUCAGAUAUUGAGGGGAUGGAGAGGGUCUUAAAUGAAAUGGAGAAUCAAUCCUUCAUUGUCAUGGACUGGAACACCUAUGCUGCUGUGGCAAAUACAUAUGUUAAAGAAGGCCUAAAUGAUAAAGCAAACAGUUUCCUCAAGAAAGCGGAGGAGAAGAUCGAUAAUAAAGAAGGGAUUGGGUAUAACUACCUCAUCUCUGUACAUUCUAAACUAGGAAACAAAGAUGAAGUCAUAAGAUUAUGGUUUCUCGAGAAGAGU
rnacentral:misc_RNA from 1 species